AGCACCUAAAAGCGUUUUCUUGUCAGCCCGUUGAAUGCUCUUGAAAAUCGUAGAUGUGUGCCAGAGCAAAGCUUAGUUGCAAGUGAUUCGGCCUAUCUCGAUGGCAGGUAUCCAUAUAGCUGACUACAAAC